rnacentral:rRNA from 1 species
UACGUAGGGUGCAAGCGUUAAUCGGAAUUACUGGGCGUAAAGCGUGCGCAGGCGGUUUUGUAAGUCAGAUGUGAAAUCCCCGGGCUUAACCUGGGACUGCGUUUGAAACUACAAGGCUAGAGUGUGGCAGAGGGGGGUGGAAUUCCACGUGUAGCAGUGAAAUGCGUAGAGAUGUGGAGGAACACCGAUGGCGAAGGCAGCCCCCUGGGUUAACACUGACGCUCAGGCACGAAAAGCGUGGGGGAGCAAACAGG